AACGAACGCUGGCGGCAGGCCUAACACAUGCAAGUCGAGCGAGGACUUCGGUUCUAGCGGCGGACGGGUGAGUAACGCGUGGGAAUGUGCCCUUCUCUACGGAAUAGCCCUGGGAAACUGGGAGUAAUACCGUAUACGCCCUUUUGGGGAAAGAUUUAUCGGAGAAGGAUCAGCCCGCGUUGGAUUAGGUAAUUGGUGGGGUAAUGGCCUACCAAGCCGACGAUCCAUAGCUGGUUUGAGAGGAUGAUCAGCCACACUGGGACUGAGACACGGCCCAGACUCCUACGGGAGGCAGCAGUGGGGAAUCUUAGACAAUGGGGGCAACCCUGAUCUAGCCAUGCCGCGUGAGUGAUGAAGGCCUUAGGGUUGUAAAGCUCUUUCAGCUGGGAAGAUAAUGACGGUACCAGCAGAAGAAGCCCCGGCUAACUCCGU
rnacentral:rRNA from 1 species